rfam:Ciona savignyi cont_31079, whole genome shotgun sequence.
GUCGUCGUGGCCGAGUGGUUAAGGCGACAAACUAGAAAUCUGUUGGGCUCUGCCCGCACAGGUUCGAAUCCUGUCGGCGACG